GACGAACGCUGGCGGCGUGCUUAACACAUGCAAGUCGAACGAUGAAGCCGGAGCUUGCUCUGGUGAAUUAGUGGCGAACGGGUGAGUAACGCGUGAGUAACCUGCCCUUGACUCUGGGAUAACUGCUAGAAAUGGUAGCUAAUACCGGAUACGACCCUCGGAGGCAUCUUCAGGGGGUGGAAAGAAUUUCGGUCAAGGAUGGACUCGCGGCCUAUCAGCUAGUUGGUGAGGUAAUGGCUCACCAAGGCGACGACGGGUAGCCGGCCUGAGAGGGUGAACGGCCACACUGGGACUGAGACACGGCCCAGACUCCUACGGGAGGCAGCAGUGGGGAAUAUUGCACAAUGGGCGCAAGCCUGAUGCAGCAACGCCGCGUGAGGGAUGACGGCCUUCGGGUUGUAAACCUCUUUUAGUAGGGAAGAAGCGAAAGUGACGGUACCUGCAGAAAAAGCACCGGCUAACUACGUGCCAGCCGCCGCGGUAA
rnacentral:rRNA from 1 species